UAUUGAUACGAGAAAAAUUUAAAAUAUAGAAAAAAUUAAAAUGAACAACAAUACAGAUCUGCAUAAUUCCGUUGAUCAGGACUAUUCCGAAUUUCUCAGCGAGUAUUUACUGCAAAACAAUUCCCAAAGUAUCGAACCGGAAGCCAGUUACGAAGAUGGAGAAUUGGAAGCAGAGUGGUUGGUUUCCGCUGGUUAUCCAGAAUUGACAAAACCCUUCAAACAAGGGAUAGAGGUUUCUAAAACUGACUUGGAUCCCAUACUUACUACUUUAUCUAAGCCACAUGCUGAAGCGAUUGUACAACUGGUAAGGACCCUAAACAAAACGGUACGGGGGCGUACAAAAAACCGACAAAAACGGAAACCUGAUAUAAGAGAUGUAUUUCGCGAAUUUGAUAAAAGCGCAAACUGGAUGUAGAUAUGGUUUCACUCACCCUUGACAAUUGAUGUAUGCGUGUUGAGGUGUAUUGUUGUCUGUUGUGUUCUUCUUAAAAUCUGAGGAACGAAGUACAGGAACACGCUCACGAAGUGCCACACCAGAUUCUCUGGACUCUUUACAAAUUGAUCAAGUUUGGACAAAC
rnacentral:misc_RNA from 1 species